AGAUUGAACGCUGGCGGCGUGCCUAACACAUGCAAGUCGAGCGGCAGCGCGGUAGCAAUACUGGCGGCGAGCGGCGAACGGGUGAGUAAUACUUUGGAAUCUUCCCAGUAGUGGGGAAUAACCAGUCGAAAGAUUGGCUAAUACCGCAUACGUCUGAAAAGGGAAAGCGGGGGCUCGUAAGACCUCGCGCUAUUGGAUGAGCCAAAGUCGGAUUAGCUAGUUGGUGGGGUAAUGGCCUACCAAGGCGACAAUCCGUAGCUGGUCUGAGAGGACGACCAGCCACACCGGAACUGAGACACGGUCCGGACUCCUACGGGAGGCAGCAGUGGGGAAUAUUGGACAAUGGGGGAAACCCUGAUCCAGCGACGCCGCGUGUGUGAAGAAGGCCUGCGGGUUGUAAAGCACUUUUAGUGGGGACAAAAAGCUACGGAUUAAUACUUCGUGGUCUUGAUUUAACCCAAAGAAAAGCACCGGCUAACUCUGCGCCAGCAGCCGCGGU
rnacentral:rRNA from 1 species